UACAAAUAUCAUAUACAAAACACAGCUGAUGGAUUUUAAAGACCUGGAAAAUGUCUGUUGUUGCUCUCUGAAUCUGGCGCACACACACACGUCAUCAUUGCGCGCCUCAACGAGUGUCACUGAGCGGCGUUUCUUUCCUAUUGAAUGGGCAGUAGAAAAAACAGAGCGUAGAAUAGUCAAACUAACCUCUCAGCCAGUCCUUUACAGGAUUUUAUUAAAAACGGCAAUAUUUUGAAAUGAUUGAUACCAUCGAAAAAGAAGAGAAUUUAAUCAGCGAGGAGGAGGCUGCGCAGUAUGAUCGUCAGAUUCGCCUCUGGGGUCUCGAUGCUCAAAAAAGACUUAGGGGAUCACGGGUGCUUCUUGUUGGUCUCCGGGGUCUUGGUGCAGAAGUAGCAAAGAACCUUAUUUUGGCUGGGGUCAAAGGACUGACUCUCCUGGACCAUGAGCAGGUGACAGAGAAGUCCAGACGUGCUCAGUUCCUGAUCCCUGUGGAUGCAGAUGGUCAGAACCAGGCCCAGGCCUCUCUGGAGAGAGCUCAGUUACUCAACCCAAUGGUGGAAGUGAAGGCAGACAUUGAUGCAGUGGAGAGCAAGCUGGAUGACUUUUUCUUCCAGUUUGAUGCGGUUUGUCUGACCAGGUGCUCCAAAGACCUCAUGGUACGAGUGGACCAGCUCUGUGCCUCCAGGAACAUUAAGGUCUUCUGUGGAGAUGUGUAUGGUUAUCAUGGAUACAUGUUCUCUGAUCUUGGCCAGGAGCAUCACUAUGUAGAAGAAAAGCCCAAAGUGGUGAAAGGGUCUAAUGAGGCCAAUGAUGGUCCUGAGGCAAAGAAACCGAAGGUUGACCCCAAUGAGACUACAAUGGUGAAAAAGACCGUCAGUUUCUGCUCUCUCAAAGCAGCACUGGAGGUUGACUGGACUAAUGAGAAGGCCAAAAACAGUCUGAAGCGCAUUCCUGUAGACUACUUCCUUCUGCAAGUGCUUCUGAAGUUUCGUACAGAUAAAGGUCGUGAUCCUCAGCCAGACAGCUUCGCUGAAGACUCUCAGCUGCUCUUGCAAAUCCGUGAUGAUGUUCUUGAGACCAUGGGCCUGAGCUCUGAACUUCUUCCCAAUACCUUUGUCAGUUACUGUUUCUCUGAGAUGGCCCCAGUGUGCGCUGUAGUCGGAGGAGUUCUUGGACAAGAGAUAGUCAAGCUUUUCAAUCUGGUUCUCCACACAACCAUGAAACCCUCCGUUUUCACUAGCUGCGAAAGUGACUUUUCUGAUGAGGCGCAGUGAGAAGCGUAUGGCAGCUGCCCUCUCCAUCAGAAUCUGGGCUAAGUCCAAAAGUUUUAUCUGUUGAUGGUGUGUAAAUGCCAGAAAUGACGAGGUAAUAUUCCGGUCACUGAUGAAAUCCAGCGGAGAGCGCCUGAAAUCUUCUCAUAUGAUUCCAUAAACCGAACAAGAUUAAAUAAGCUAAAGCACAGUGAUGUAAUCAGUCAGUCUUGAGUGGAUAAUAACACCUGGUUUAUGGACAGUAAGAGGAUCUGUUGUAGUGUAGGCCAUGUAAAAACACAUAUUUGCCCCAGUUGCACACAACAGAAUACAGUAAAUGGUAAACGUCAAUAUCUCUCUUGGAGGGUGAUGUCAUCCCGGGAUGCGGUGGGGUCUUCGUGAGGGUGGGGAUCAGGGCAGAGUGGGGUGAUGGAGUGAACGCCGUUGUCUCAGAGGCGGUGGCUGGGCAGGCCUUGAACCCACAUGGCGGUGGAGUGAAGCCAGGCUGUCUCGCCAUCUCCCUGCAUGAUGAAACAGGCUGCAAUUCGCAUAUGGCUCUCUGUUUCUCGUUGCCCCUCGCCCAUCAGUCUCUGUCGCCACAAUGGUGAACGAGUCUGAUGUGUUCGAUCAAAGCAGUUAAUUAGAGAAUUCAAGGUCUUUGGCAUGUGACGUGUCUGAAGAUUUGUUUGCAUGUGUUCGACAGGCACUGUCUCAGAGAGAUGCUCCACACAGGAACUUUUUCUUCUUCGACGGCCUGAAGGGCAGCGGGGUGGUCGACUACUUCGGAUCCAAAUAAGUGGCCCCUGGAGAACAUGGAGAGAUGUGUGGCGAUGCAUGUGUGCUCUCAAAACACCAUGGAGUUCAUCUUCUGCCAGUGGCCGCAGGCAUCAAAAUCUGUCUUUUGGACGGUACCUUUGCGUAGCAGUAUGCCACACAUCAACCGAUGCCAAGAGCAACGAGAACAUUUUGUCCACACACUCUGAAAUAUUCAUGUACACACGUUUUUUUACCAAGGUUAUGUGAUUUCUACAUUUUGUAUUAAAAUAAUAAUA